rnacentral:lncRNA from 1 species
ACAUGAGAGGCCGUUAACAUUACUUGCAUGUGUGUUAACUGAGUCAGUGCAUGAAAUCAAUUACUGUUUGCAACUUUUGAAUCUAAUAAUAAAAGUACACGAUUCAAAGGUUUUUUAUAUCCAUCCAUGUAACAUGUCAUGUCUCUCUUAAAAAAAGAUGUCAUGUCAUAUUAUUCUAUUACAGGAGACCCGUAACAAUGUGCAUAUAAUUACUUUAUUAGCAUUUAAAAUAACAGACAUUCUUGUCAUUUCAAUAGGUCUAGAUUAAAUGGCACGGCCCAUCUAGUCUCGCGUGAUUUAGUGAGGGGAGUCACCACCGAUGUUUUCAUUGGGAAGAAGAUUCUCCACUAUCUUUCCUCCCGUCAUUAAGGAGUCCAGAGAGAUUAAUUUUUCUUUUCUAGAUUUUUUAAUUCAUUAAAGUAAAUCAUAAAAUUAGAAAAAUCAAUGGCUCAAUGAUUUAAAAUAUUACUUCGUUAAAGGUAAAGUUUGUGGAUGUAGUAGGUAUGAAGGUCAAAAUGGUCAAUGUAUUACAAGGCA